rnacentral:rRNA from 1 species
GACGAACGCUGGCGGCGUGCUUAACACAUGCAAGUCGAACGGAAAGGCCCUGCUUUUGUGGGGUGCUCGAGUGGCGAACGGGUGAGUAACACGUGAGUAACCUGCCCUUGACUUUGGGAUAACUUCAGGAAACUGGGGCUAAUACCGGAUAGGAGCUCCUGCUGCAUGGUGGGGGUUGGAAAGUUUCGGCGGUUGGGGAUGGACUCGCGGCUUAUCCGCUUGUUGGUGGGGUAGGUGCUUACCAAGGCUUUGACGGGUAGCCGGCCUGAGAGGGUGACCGGCCACAUUGGGACUGAGAUACGGCCCAGACUCCUACGGGAGGCAGCAGUGGGGAAUAUUGCACAAUGGGCGGAAGCCUGAUGCAGCAACGCCGCGUGCGGGAUGACGGCCUUCGGGUUGUAAACCGCUUUCGCCUGUGACGAAGCGUGAGUGACGGUAAUGGGUAAAGAAGCACCGGCUAACUACGUG